rnacentral:rRNA from 1 species
AACGAACGCUGGCGGCGUGCUUAACACAUGCAAGUCGAACGAGAAAGUCGUAGCAAUACGAUGAGUAAAGUGGCGCACGGGUCAGUAACACGUGGAUAAUCUACCUUCGGGCGAGGGACAACCGGUCGAAAGACUGGCUAAUACCUCGUAAGACCACAGGGCUUUCGGGCCUCGGGGUAAAAGGUGGCCUCUAUUUAUAAGCUAUCGCCUGAAGAUGAGUCCGCGCACCAUUAGCUUGUUGGCGGGGUAAUGGCCCACCAAGGCUAAGAUGGUUAGCUGGUCUGAGAGGACGACCAGCGACACUGGAACUGGAACACGGUCCAGACUCCUACGGGAGGCUG